UAGAUACCCUAUUAUUCUAAUAAGAAAUCUAAAAUACUUGAGUAGUAAAUAGUUAUGAACUAGAAACUUAAAGAAUUUGGCGGUGUUUUAGUCUCGUUAGAGGAGGUUGCCCUAUAAACGAUAAGACGCGCAAGAUCUUUCUUCUUUUUGUAAUUACAGUUUGUAUACCGUCAUUAUGAGUAUUUUAUAAAAAUAAAUAUUAAGAUAAAUUAAUUAUUUAAAAUAUUAGAUCAAGGUGCAGCUUAUAAAGAAGUGUGAGGUGAGCUACAAUAAUAUUUGAUUUAAAUGGAUUUAAAAUUGAAAGUUUUAUUGAAAGUGGAUUUAAAAGUAAUUAUAUUUUAACAAGUUAUAAUGAAAUUGAGCUCUGAUAUACGUACACAUCGCCC
rnacentral:rRNA from 1 species